GACGAACGCUGGCGGCGUGCUUAACACAUGCAAGUCGAACGGAAAGGCCCUGCUUUUGUGGGGUGCUCGAGUGGCGAACGGGUGAGUAACACGUGAGUAACCUGCCCUUGACUUUGGGAUAACUUCAGGAAACUGGGGCUAAUACCGGAUAGGAGCUCCUGCUGCAUGGUGGGGGUUGGAAAGUUUCGGCGGUUGGGGAUGGACUCGCGGCUUAUCAGCUUGUUGGUGGGGUAGUGGCUUACCAAGGCUUUGACGGGUAGCCGGCCUGAGAGGGUGACCGGCCCAAUGGGGAGAGAGAUGCGCCCCAGACGCCUAGGGGGGGGAGGCGUGGGGAAUGUUGCCCAAGGGGCGGAAGGCUGAGGGAACAACGCAGGGGGGGGGGUGGGGGCCUUCGGUUGGUAAACCGUUUUCCCCUGUGAAGAAGCGGGAGGGGCGGUAAUGGGUAAAGAAGCACCGGCUAAAUACGU
rnacentral:rRNA from 1 species